ensembl:lncRNA
AUUUGUUCUGUACAUGUGAUUAAAGAUCACAGCAGCUUCUGCAGCGUCGCUGUAGAGAGGGAGAAAAUGACUACUGUAACGCUCGCCACUCUCAAGUUUCCUCUACUGCAAUGCCCUUACACCUUUCCUUUCGCGGGCGUUUUGUAGCAUCCUAAACAGAAGGAUAUUGCAGGGAGCUGAUUCCGCUUUGAUCCUUGUGCCUGUUGUCAAAGCGCUUGGGAUUGAAGAGACUGUUGGCUACAAUUGACUGUGACAAUUAGGAGAUGUUCAGAGCCCUAGAGUGGAGCACUUAAAGGGUAAUUUACAUGUCAGUUUGUCGAAUAAAAAAAAAGAUAUUCAGCUAAGAUUUUUCUCCCCCCUCAGAGCCUUGUAAACUGCAAUUUGUACGCUGGUAAGAAAAACCUGGCAGAGGAGUUAGGAUGCCAUUACCAUUUGAAAAGAGGCAAUCAUAAGGCGCUUCUGAGCCCUUUGUCCACUGAAAAUGCUGAUUUGCAGGCGGUGAGUGAAAAAGUGGAACCGCCACUGAAUAAAACCUUGAGCUAGGUAACUACCCUCUACCCCAACACUUGGUGGCUUUUUAGCAUCGGUUAAAGGUGCUCUUUAAAAAAAAAUGUAUCUUAAAUCCCACGUUUCCUAUCAUCACAACAUUGUUAUUGAGCACGAAUGUUUCCUUCCAACCCGGGAAGAAUCAAAGCAGACCCUGAGAGGUAAGUGGGACGCAAGCCAAGUCAGUGGCAAUCAGACCAAAGCCCUCAGUUGCCCCACAUUUCCCUGUACCAUCUCAGCUUCCCAGUAGCGCCUUCGUUCAGUGCGCUGUGCUCUUAGGCCUUUCCUGCCUUUAUUUACUUCUCAGGCUUAACAAUGAGAACCAUCCUUCAAAUGUUCUUGCUACCAGCCGGAUCACCUCCAUGGCCCAUCCCAGUCUAUUGACGCAUCAGUGCGCGUCAGUGCGUGCAAGUUGAGUAACCAGAAAGUUCACCAGUAAAGCCACGCUGUACUUACCGAUACAUUGUCCCUUGUGGAACUAUGUAGAUCCGGUGCCCCGGUUUAGUACAGAGAUAUGUAUAAACUUGCAAUUGCUGGUAUGUCUUCCAGGAUUUGUAUUCCGAGUCAGGGUGAAGGACAUUUUUAGAAAAAUAACCCACCUGGUUACAGAUGCUGUUGUCUUUAUCUACAAUAUCAAAGAAUCCUCAGCCCUUCAAAAGCCAGAGUUUCUGACCUUGAAGAGGAAUCUGCCCAUGACAACUGCACACCUUGGUACUGACAUGGAUCUGGGUUUUAGAACAUCCCUUUCUUUAAAGGAUUCACCACCUCAUACUUUGGAAGGUGGCACUCCGAUUGGAUAGAAGUUUGAGCCAAAAGUUGGAUGCAUAAUUCAACUAUUUAUAAACAUAUUUGAGACAAAUGGCGGCAGGGAGAUUCCAUCCAAUGCUACUACAAAGAAAGAGGGCCUGAAUUUUUAAGGUCUGGUUUCCUCUCAAGAAGGUGGAGCAGACACUGACCCAUCUUUACCAUUUAGCUUGAAGAGGACUGAGAGCCUAUGACAAUUCUUCCCAGACUCCCUCAUCCUGAAAAAUGAACACAUUUGAAGAAUAUUACAG